UUUUUUCAUAAUAUAAAAUAUUUCAGUAACUUUUUUCUUUUCUUAGAGUCAAUACAUUUGAGCUCAAUUUGCCUCCAUAGGAACAUCGUGAGUGUACGGAACAUCCGGUUGGCAACCAACGUUUCCGGUUAAUUACCGCCAUCAAUUGGACUGGAGUGUGGCUCAGUCCCUAGCAGACGAGGAAGCCACAGCUAAAGAGAGAUGCCAGGAAAUGAAUGUGAUUCAAUGAAGCAAAUAGAGGUUUGUUUCUUUAACAGAGUUGUGGAUGUCUGCAUUGAGUCACUGACAGACCUGGAUGGAAAGGAACUGGCUACAAAAAUCCUAAAUUUUCCAGACUUUCCAAAGGUUACCUUGACCAUCCUUGAACUCUAGUUGGAGGAAAAGAAGCUGAAGAAAAUACUCCCAAACCUGUGUGUGGCCCUCCAAAUAGGUCCACAAUGGUCUUGCAUGAUGAGCAUCAACAGAGACAUUUCCAGGAAGAUAUCCUACGACAAUAUCAUUGAUAGUUUGGCAGCAAGGAAAAGAAGACAGAAACUGCUGUAAUAGCACACAGAAUACGAUUUACAGUGUCUUUUUUGUUUACCCAGUUUAUGCACCUGUCAUUCAACAUUUGGUUGUAGAAAAUAUUGUCUUUAUUAAUUUUCGAACAGCACACUAUAUUGAUUCUCCUUUAUUGUUUACAUUUUUUGUACACCUGCUAUCUCACAUAUUUAUUUGGUGUUUAUGAAAGUAAAAUAAAUAAGUGUUAUUUCCCCUGAUGUUGGCAACUGUCUUUGGGGGGGGCAACAUUUAGAAAUCUCACCUAGGGCGCCAGAUUGCCCAGAAACACCUCUGAAAAUAUGCGUGGUGGAUCUGGAGAGGAUACUUCAGAUUUGUGCUGUUUGAGCACUGCCUUUCUGGAGCAAAUCCAGCUAUUUGCCUCCUCCAAAUUAUUGUGCUCACCUCUUUCAAUUUCAAAAUGCGCCAUGAGCAGUGCAGUUGUGUUGGGCUUUGGAACUACCACUAUGUUGUUAUUCAUUGCUGUUCACAUUUUAUUGUUUAUUAAUGGCAUAGAAGCCCUCC